rnacentral:rRNA from 1 species
GAUGAACGCUGGCGGCGUGCCUAAUACAUGCAAGUCGAGCGGACAGACGAGGAGCUUGCUCCUCUGACGUUAGCGGCGGACGGGUGAGUAACACGUGGAUAACCUACCUAUAAGACUGGGAUAACUUCGGGAAACCGGAGCUAAUACCGGAUAAUAUAUUGAACCGCAUGGUUCAAUAGUGAAAGACGGUUUUGCUGUCACUAAUAGAUGGAUCCGCGCCGCAUUAGCUAGUUGGUAAGGUAACGGCUUACCAAGGCAACGAUGCGUAGCCGACCUGAGAGGGUGAUCGGCCACACUGGAACUGAGACACGGUCCAGACUCCUACGGGAGGCAGCAGUAGGGAAUCUUCCGCAAUGGGCGAAAGCCUGACGGAGCAACGCCGCGUGAGUGAUGAAGGUCUUCGGAUCGUAAAACUCUGUUAUUAGGGAAGAACAAAUGUGUAAGUAACUAUGCACGUCUUGACGGUACCUAAUCAGAAAGCCACGGCUAACUACGUG